rnacentral:rRNA from 1 species
UACGGAGGGUGCGAGCGUUAAUCGGAAUAACUGGGCGUAAAGGGCACGCAGGCGGUUAUUUAAGUGAGGUGUGAAAGCCCCGGGCUUAAACUGGGAAUUGCAUUUCAGACUGGGUAACUAGAGUACUUUAGGGAGGGGUAGAAUUCCACGUGUAGCGGUGAAAUGCGUAGAGAUGUGGAGGAAUACCGAAGGCGAAGGCAGCCCCUUGGGAAUGUACUGACGCUCAUGUGCGAAAGCGUGGGGAGCAAACAGG